rnacentral:rRNA from 1 species
UACGUAGGGUGCGAGCGUUAAUCGGAAUUACUGGGCGUAAAGCGUGCGUAGGCGGUUCGCUGUGUCCGAUGUGAAAGCCCCGGGCUUAACCUGGGAAUGGCAUUGGAAACUGGCGGGCUUGAGUGUGGCAGAGGGGGGUGGAAUUCCGCGUGUAGCAGUGAAAUGCGUAGAGAUGCGGAGGAACACCGAUGGCGAAGGCAGCCCCCCUGGGCUAACACUGACGCUCAGGCACGAAAGCGUGGGGAGCAACAGG